GUUUAAGGUUUGCAAAGGGACAACAUUUUUUGAAUUAGUUGUAUAUAAAGUAUGUUUGCACUCACGCUCUCCUUUUUAAUACCAACGUGGUAUUUUAAGCAAGGUAUUAUAUAGUGACGUUUACUGGUAAAUGAUCACGUGAUCAUAAGAAAACCCUCUGAUUACUUCUAUCAAAAAGAGGGCUUACUAGAAGGUUAAAGAUGAAAGGGAAGGGAGUUAAUUGAUUUAUUUGAAUGACGACUCCAUCGUUAA